GAAGAGAAUGUGGCCAGGAUGGGGAGGAAUGUGAGAUUAGCGUAAGCGAGUUACAGGGCGUUUGGCGCACGGGCGAAUUUACGUGCAUACCUUUCACCGUAGCAUCAGUCCUCAGUUCACUUCCUGGAACGAACAUCAGCAUAGGUCCAAGCCCUCUCCGAAUGCUGCAAGCUGUAAUCGACGAACGUGCAAGACCAGAGUGACUCCUUAUCGAAUGAAUCAAGAAUACUAUUUGAGUCAUACUCAAAAUGUAUGAAUCAACUCGGCAGCAAUUUGCGUGGGCGCCGAGGACGCAACAUCCCAAGCUGUCUUCUGUGGCGAAGCUCGGGCUAGCGGCCAGUGGAGCUCUUCAAAUAGCAAACCAUGUAAGCAUGGGAAUAAUAUUACACACUAACAAAGUUCAGCGCGACAGACAACUCAAACUUUCUCGCCAGCUCGCGCGAUAACCUCAAUAACAAUCGCUCCUAACAAAAGGAACAGCGUAAAAAAUAAUACAGCAAAGAAAACGGUACCUGAGUUCCACUCAGUUCCGCUCAGUUUCGGCCCCACACGAACUCACGGGAACUGAGCCGAACUGAGAUCCCUCGCACCCCAACGGUCACCCGUCUUCCAAACAUGCCGUCCUGCUCCCCCCAAUCAUCCCCUCUUCUUGAGACCCCUCUUAAGCUCGCUGAAAGCGUCGGGGCUAAGGUCUUCGGCAAGCUGCUUGGCAGGAAUCCAGUACAAUGUCUUGUCCCCUUAGAAUCUGACUUGGUACUCCAGCUUGCCUGCCUUGUUAAACCUGCUGCCUUCGAACCUGCUUACCUCCACGUGCUCCUCGCCGUCUAUCACCUCCUUCUUGGCCUUCCUGCUUCGCUUCCCCUUCUUGGGCUUGGCUUUGGGAGCCUCCUUGCCCUCUGCUUCCUCUAUCUUUGCCUCAGCAUCCCCAUACCUCUUACCCACCCUCACCACCGUUUUGUGCUUUCCCUCCGCCUCCCGCUUCUUGCUGCCCUCUAAACUACCCUCCAUAUCUCUGGGAUCAAUCUUGCUUAGCUCAUUUAUAGCGCCAUGGCAGGGUGGAGCCGUCAGCAUCCACCAGCACAAACUCCCCUCAAAAAUUUAGCAUCUUCGAAUCUACCCCUGUCAAUUCGCCGCCUAACGUAACCCCCUACCCCUAUAUCCACCAGUGACUCUAGUUUAUCAUUUUGCUGGGUUAGCUCCUCGUACAUCUCUCUCUCUCUGUGUCUAGGUCGCCGUAUACUUUGUUGGGGGUCAUGUUUUUGAGUGAGGAAUGGGGUGUAGAGUUGUAAUUCGCUCCUGGUCUAUAAAUCGUGUGGUGUUGUUGGCUAGCAUGUAAUAGCGUAUGUAUCGUUUGAUGGUCUUGGUUGCCACGUCCACUAUGCCUAGCUUGUUGCCCCUGGACAUAUGGUCGUCCUUAGCCACUUACGUAUCUCGAAUGGUACGCUCUCCUUGGCCUUAUGCUGGAAUUCUCUCACCUUCUCCAUGCGUUAUUUUAGCACUUCUUCCUUCGUUUCUUUCUCUUUAUUGGAAAGCUCUCUUAAUAGCCGACGUUUCUCUAGCGCCUUCUCUUGUGCCUUCUGCAGCUGGGCAAUUUUCUCUGCUGUCAAUUGUUUUUUGGGCAUGGCAACGGUUUGGGCUUCAGGCUCAGACAUUUCAGUGGCUUCAGACAUUAUAGAUAUUUAUAGUAACGUCAGAAAAAACUUAGUGGAAUUUCAGAGUUAUUGGCAUGGUUCUAAGGAUGGGCAUGCAUUUCUCUGCUUGCCACACCCCUUCCAGUGCUUGUAUUUAGUCUUAUCCAGACAAGGUUGUAAACCAUGAGAUGAAAAGCCCUCCGGGGGCGUCUGCAACCGCUCAUGUGCCCAUGCUGACAGCAUAUGGUUUCAAAAAGCACCCCCAAGCUCCGCCUCCCCACCAGGAAGCCCCCAAUUAAACUGAUGGGCAACCCAUUGCCUCAGGCAACAGCCUUGACAGUAACCAGUGCACUUGGUCCCUAGCGCGUUGCUGCCUUAGCACAGCAGGCAUUCCUUUCCAGUACUCCACUGCCUGGCACCUCAUCAACACCAAUCGCUACAAGUUGGCCAGCACCGAGGAGCCCGUGUUCCCAGCUGGCGUACACAUCCAACUGGCAGUCACGCAGACGGUGCGGCAUACCAGUGCAAACAAGCCGCCGUCAUGGCCUACCUGGCGAGCAAGAAUGGGGUCUAACGACCCCGGGCUGCUUGUGGCGGUCAUGUGCGGUAGCCUGAGACCCAGAAGGAGAAGGCGUUUGGUGGGAGAAGUGUUGGCUCUCUAAUUUGUCCUCCUGUUUGUAGGUACUCUGUGUGUGGGUGCGGGUUGCAGGUUGGAAUUCUGGCUUGUCUCGAUGGCUCCUAGCAUGCAUCGCAUAUCAGCCAUUUUGUUGUUCCCAUUUAUGAAUUUUGCCAUUUGCGCCAUUUUGCACUACAAGGCCAUUUGUGCCACCACUGGACCGGUCGUGGGCCACUGCCACAUGUGACAUAAGACGGGGUUAGGGGCCCCUAAUGUAAGUCAUCACGAGGUGCUGACUGUCGUUACCCUGGCGGCCCGGUGAGGUGAAGAGGGGGUAACCAUGUGCAGUAGUCAGAGUUGAGCACGAUCGUUACCCGGAUGUAACGACGUCCCCGGGGUAACGAUUGUCAUUACAUGGUCACGGAGAUCGUAACUAUCAUUUCGGUGCCAUAGGGAACCUGGUCCGACCCACGUGGUGUGGCACCAUACUAAGAGCACAGGACCCCCCAUCCAGCAACUGGCAGCCAGUUGACAUCGAGGCGAUGCAAAAAGAGAUGGGAGGGGCGGAAGGGUGCGCCAAGCAAGGGGUGCAAUGGCAAGUGUUAGGAUAGCCAUGGGGGUGCUACACUACGCAUUCUAACAUGGAAUGCUCCCAUCGCCUACGGCAAUCGCCUGGAAUUAAUUGCGCAAGGAGUUAUAUGUCCUGGCGAUUACGACAUUAUAAUUGCUACUGAAAAUAAAGUCCUUCCAUGCAACCUGUCCAGGCCUUUGGCGCCGUGUGGGAAAUGCCUCGCGGGUGGCAAGGGUCUCUUGCUGGGCUGAUGCUAUCUUGCACCGUCCACGUCUGAAGUGGAUGAAGACUUAAAACUGGCGGACACAACCUGGCCGACAGCAUUGCUGGACCGCUGGGUGACGCAAUCUAUGCAUUGCGGAGGGAUGGAGAGAGAUUCUGUUUCUGUGGGAGAUUUUACUGCACGUGUAGGUGCGGCUAAGGAGACUGAUUACGCAUAUCAAGCACCGUUCUCGCCUUUUGAUAAAGAGCAUUGCAUUACACCAGCCUCUGAGCUCAGGGCGCUGGACCAAACAAUUGAUAUUGUCGGCAAGAGGGUCCUGCACAUGUGUUGUCAGCAUGACUUAAGCAUUUUCAAUGGGAGAGUGGACGGGGACAUCCCAGCUGGCCACACGUUCACUGCUAGCAGGGGCAGCACGGUCGACCUAUUCACUGGGUCGCAAACCCUGCUUGUUACUAGCCCGCACCUGAGUGUGAUGCGCAACAAUGCAUGGGGUACAUGACAGUCCAAGUUCAGUGACCAUUGUCUGGUGACUUUGAUAAUCCCCAUCCCCGCAGCAGGACAAGGUGCCUCUCAUAAAUUUGUUUGAUAAUGGCGGCAAGAAGCGUUUCCAAGCCCUGUUUGCUGACCCCGGGGGCCAUGUUGUCGUAUGUUGCCAUGUAGCAUGUUGCAACGUCGCAUGUCGCAACCCAGGGGGUGCCAAUAAACUUGCACACAGCCAUACAUGCGGGUCAAGCUGGGUGGAAAGCUAGGCAUGCCCUUCAGUGUCAGGUGGGGCGUCAAGCGAGGAGCACUGAUGUUGCUCACAUACCUGAAAGAGUUUUGCGAGGCUACAUACUGGCAUGCAAGUGAAUGCGGCUUAGUGCAAGGUACUGUACUUCAGUACAACCCCAGCACAGCGCAAAGAGUGGGCCACAUGUGGUUUCACACUGGGUGGUGUGCGGUUGAAGGUCCUAGGGAAUAAGGAAACAGCCCGCUACCUAGGUUUGCACUACGGUGCUGGGCACAAAUUCACAGACUGCAUUAAGGAGCUUGUGGUGAGCAUAGCUGAGGGCCACAUGCUGAGGGCGAUGACGCAUUUGAUAUUGGGGGUGGUCGGGGGUGUCAUGAUGAGUAAGCAUGUCGGUGUGUGUGUGUUUAGCCAGUCGCGACCAAGUCCGUGGACCAUUGUGCGCAUGGACAAGAGACAAGCAAACAAGCAUUGCAUCAUAAUGCAUGGGUGAUUUGUGUGUGCUUGUGAAAGCCUGCAUUUGCAAAUAUUAGAGAGUGGCCGGGUGUCGUGCCACACACGCCAGAAAUAGAAAUAGAAAUAGUCAUACCCUGGUAGAGGCAAGUGGUAUGUGUUAAGGGAGUGGGGAGGGAUGAGGAAACAGGCCAGGCCCGUAGCCUGUACACUCCCAAUACCGGAAGGGGUGGGGCGAGGGGGUGGGCCAUGCCCGCCUCCCGCACGCUCUGGUUACACCCCACCGGGCCAGCCACUGCCGGGGUCGCCUGGUGGCUGGCCCCACUCGAGGCGUCGUCAUGUGAGGACGAUGUUAUUGAGUGAGGAGACCACGUGGUCGUGCAGGGCGUUGCAGCAUUGUCGUGCGGCAUGUGCGGUGGCUCCAAGGGAGGUGAGUAGGGGGUGGAGGUCUUUGCGGAUUGUGCCGGCAAAGCCCAGGCUAAUGGAGUUUUGGGCGGUGUACUGUACUUUCCAGCCUGCCUCUUCCAGGGCGGCCUUGAGGUGUGCAUGUUGUUCAGCUUUCUCGUGUUGUUUUGUGGUGUGGUUUGUGUCAGCAGAGUAGCCUACUUCGAUGAUGUGGACGGUGUGGUGCUGGCCGGGGAUGAUGCUGAAGUCGGGGGCGUGGGUGGCGGCUAGCAUGAUGGACGGGAUGAGUAGGAUAUCCGGGCGGUAGUUGAGGUGUCGGCCCGGGGGUUGGCCAUCUGUGUCGGGGAGGAGCCACACUGGGAGGCGAUUGUCAGCGACAUAGUCUGGGAGGUCCUCCUUGGAGGUGGCAUCCAUGACCAUGUAGCAGCCGCCCAUGUCGCCGCACGAGAUGGGCCGCACGCACCAUGUGAGAUGGCCAUGUGAGAUGGUCACGUGGGUUGUCACUUUUUGGCUGGGCACAGUGUUCCGUGCCACAAUGCCAGUAUCAUGUAGAUGCCUGCAGGCCCCUGGUGCCUACACUGCGUAGAUAGACACCCCCUCAGAAAAAACUUCCAUGGGGGGCAAGCCCCCCCAAACCCCCUGUAAUUCGGGGCCCAAAAGGUGAAAAAGCGUCUACAUGCCGUAGACACAUCCGUAGACACAUACCCCACGGAGACACGAUAGCUUCUACAUUUUUCGUCCAUCUGGGGGCGAAUUUUUUAAAUUCGGUCCCUCAUGUAACCAAUGCAAUCUAAUUUUUACACGUAGAUGGAAGAUAAGAGCACUGCCAUGCCGGACACCAGGAAUGGCACUGUCUUGUCCAGCCCUUUGUAUGGCAGGAUGAGCACAUGUGAUGGGUUGUACGCCUGCAUGGGGAGAAUGGGGCCGUAUGGGUAGGGCGAGCCUCCAGGGUUAUCUAAGGUGGAGGCCACGCUAGGUUCGAGAGACCAGGCAAGACCUGUGUACUGAGACCAGGCCGUAAGACCACACUUCGGCUGUAAGCCCUGAGAUCUCUCCCCUCAACUCUGGUUUCUGGGCAAUAGCCCCAAGCCCUCUGAUAGGGUGUUCUGUAACACACGCUUGACUUGUCCUGACUUGACCUGUCCCUCCGUGUCCCACUGCACCGAGCACGCUAACCUCCAAGCGCCUGAGACUGUCAGCAGCAGUGUGAGGCCCCUUUCCCCUUACCCGUGCACAGGCUCCAGCCCUGCUCACCCCGAGCCCCUCUCUUCCCCUGUGCUCCCUGAAGGCUAGGAACCAUGUGGUUCAUGUCCCUGGUUGACACACUCAGGUGGAUCCCGUGCCCGGACUCUCCCGUUACAGCUCUCCAGCUAACGCUUCUGCAUCUCUAUUCUACCUUCAGCUGAUGCUUUCACAUCUUGAUCCUACCUGCAGCUCAUACGCUUCCGCAUCUCGAUUCAACCUUCAGCCCAUAUGCUUCCGCACCCUACUUCGUGAGCAGCACUCUCCCUUGACAGCCUUUCACACACUUCAACACAUAUCGAGACCAGCAAGUGGUUGCUGUGCUUCACUAACCCAGCGUCUGGUCCUCACACCAACGUUGGGCAGGGAGCUUUCCCUGAACCUUGGGCACCUUCAGGAAAAAAAUCUGUACAUGUAUAUGCCUUUUGCACCCUGAGGGUCGUGCGCAUUACAAGCUCCUUGCGGCAGGGAAUACACCCUAUGAUUCAUGGGACACUGUAACUGUAAUACAUAUGCAAAAGUCUCAAUCACCCACAAAACAAGUAGGGCCCCAGCCCAUCUCAGUAAUGAUGCUGAGGCCGCCUACCCACCCGCAUCUUGGCCACAACUGCUUCCACUAGUUCCUCCGUCAGCACUCAGUGCUGCGUGAUUGGCUUUGUCCAGCUUUAGCAAUGAAGAAUGGCCCAACUGUAACCCACACGUGCGAUCAUGGCAUCCUUGGCCAUGCAGCAGCUGCAUGCCCGAUGGGCCCCUCCUCCAGAGGCAAACAGGAGGUGUGAAGAUCAAAACCAUGCGCCUUAUGCAUCUAUCAAACCAUGCACCAUGCACCCGCCACGUGCGACUGCCAUAAUGACUGUGGCUUAAUUAGCGCCAUCAGCUGUGCGAGCCAGCCCCGCCUGAUCAGCAGCACGAGAAGAGCCUGUGGUUGAGCAAAAGCAGGUGUUGGCCGGUGCAGUGUGCAUCAGUCAGCGCAGCGACUUCAGGCAGGCACCUUUGGCGACGUGUGCGCACUCCUAUGCAAGCCCGUCCUUGUCCCUAACAUACCGCAGGAGGCCUCGCCAUCGUGGUGCCUGCUGCGCAACUUGCAGCGCCUUGAUAUCCCGUUGCAGCUGCGCGAUA
rnacentral:lncRNA from 1 species